rnacentral:rRNA from 1 species
GACGGAGGGCGCAAGCGUUGUUCGGAAUCAUUGGGCGUAAAGCGCGCGCAGGCGGUUCGUCAAGUCGGAAGUGAAAUCCCGGGGCUCAACCCCGGGGCUGCUCCCGAAACUGACGAGCUGGAGACUGGUAGAGGCUGGUGGAACUCCCGGUGUAGCGGUGGAAUGCGUAGAGAUCGGGAAGAACACCCGUGGCGAAGGCGGUGUGCUGGGUUGCAACUGACGCUGAGAUGCGAAAGUGUGGGUAGCAAACGGG